GGGGGUGAUUGGAUUCGACAGAGGGGAAGACUCGUAGAUUGCAGGUCGAGGACGCCGGCUCCCUCGUAAAUCCGCUGGCAAGCCGUAACUGGCAACAACAAUCGGGCUGUCGCAAGUCAGCUCGCCUACGCGGCCUAAUCUCCGCGUACCUCGUGUCGGUCUCCGCCUGGCGGAUCGGUAACGGGGCCACUUAGUCAGGCUGCUGCGUACUGGAUGCCGAGGACGGUGCGCUCAAGACCACUCGGCUGGCGCCCAAAGGCCCCUGUCGGUGGGGACCCGAAGCGCGAGAUCCCAACCACCGGAU
rnacentral:tmRNA from 1 species